UUACAGUGCUGCCCAGAGAUGGUCAUGCAGGACAGCCAGUCUACCCUACUGGAUAAUGAGUGAUCACUUGGAGAAGAAUUGAGGUGCCCUCAUUCACAGCCGGCAUCAACAACCAGACAUGUGGAGCCAGAAGAGUUUGGAAGAAGAUUCAAUUGCCGUGGAUUGGAGCACUAAGGAAAGUUUUCACUGAGAGGAAGUGAAAUAGGCCUUAAAGAUUGCCAGGGUUUAGAGAAAUGGAAAGAAAAUGAAAGGCUGUUUGGGGCAGCAAAUAUCUUUAUAAAUAUCCUUCUGUAAAACAAAGGAUGGAGAUAAAUCUAAGGAUUUCUUGGCAAUCUGGCACUUCAGAAUAAAGAUGGAGAAGACACAUUUGCACAGUUAUGUACUGGAAAUGUAAUUGUAAAGGUAUGUCUUUGCAAUUUCUAUACAUAGGGUAAGUUUAGUCUAUGAAGAUCUUCUACUUCAACAAAUGAAGAGAAUUGAGAAGAAUGUAAGCUUUUAAAAGGAAAGAAACAAUAGAUAGGCAAACUG